rnacentral:lncRNA from 1 species
UCUGCCUGCAGCUAGACCAGGAAGAAAGGAGACUGAGCAGAGGAAAUGAAAGAGUAAAGGAGAGGAGAGAGUGGGUAGGACACAAAGCUGAGGUGACUGAAGCAGCAGGAAGUAGGCAGGGCAUGAAGAAUUGGGAUUCAAAGCCCUUGAAUUUAGUUCCCAACUUCACUUAUGGGGCAAUGCUCCAAGUCACUCAGUCACCCUGAACUUCAGCUGGAGAAGGGGAACAGGAAUAAUGCCUAUCUUCCAGGAGUGUUCUGCACAAAACUGAAGGCACAGAUGAAAAAGCACUCUGCAAAUUAAAAGGUGCUUCCAAGACCAAGAUAACCAGGCAAUCAUAGUAGAUGCAUCAAUGCACCCUUGCCCAAGGGCCUAGACAAGAGGAGGAAGGAAAGGAGGAGCACGUGCACAAAGCUAAGGAGGUGAUUAACAACAUGAUACAGUAUUGUUUAGCUUCGCAUGAAUUUUAUCACCUUGCCUAGAACCAGCCACCAUCUGCCAGGGCUCCUGACUUUUUCUGAAAUGAAUAGACACUAAAGCCUGCUGGGGAAUUUCAUGGAAAUCAAGAUGACUCAACCCAGAGUCCAUUUCAAGGCUAGGAUGCUAGAGGACGCCAACAAAGGAGUAGGGAAGUGAAACGGAUCAGCUCACAUCCAAGCCCUUGCAUGAUCAAUCCUGCAGUAGGAGUGCUGCUCAGUUGGGACUCAUGAGAGCCCGGAAGAGGAAAAAGCAGCUCUAAGCAUAGCAAAGAAGCUGUUAUGGAAAAGACCCAAAUGUUAAAAUGGUGGACAUAGUAAAGUGAUUGGUUCUGCUUAGGGGAAUCUAGAUCCCCACAUUUUGACCUCCACUGGAGUCUCAGAAGAACAAGUGCCAGGGGGGCUUGCCACAGAGGCCAAGGCAGUGAAUGUCAGGCACAUCACAGUCCCCAAGAUGGGGAGAAGACUGAGAUGCAGGGUAACAACUGCAAUCCAUUCAUGGGAGCCAUGUUUAUCUUAAAUCAUUGACAGUGAGAUAAGGAUCAUGUCAGCCUUCAUACCUUUGAUGAUGAUCCCAGGCUGCAACAGUGACACAUAGAACUGGAUUCAGUAACUAACUACAGAUUCCAUCAACCAGGACUAGUAAAGUGAAAGGCAGAAAUUGGGAGGAGGGGUUUCUUUCUUGCUUAUAAAACUUUAUUUGGUUGUGUUGAGUAUGUGCAUGUAUGUAUGAAAUCCCAUAAAGCAGUCUUCUUAGGAACAAGCCAACAUGCCACAAUGUAGGAGAUCUUUGGAGCACUGGCCUAAAUGGCAGAGAGCUCAAGGGACUCUGCUUUGUACAAGGCAUGAUUUGUACCACCACCACUAUCCCUGUUUCAGAGCACUGUUGAAUUGUUCCAAACCUGGAUUUCUAUGUCAGCUCCCUGUCUAUAGUACUUGACUGAUAAAUGCUAGUUUCUGAAAUCUGCUUUGGUUCUAUAAUUUAUUAGACAGCUUUUUCUUCCCAUUUUAUUACUUGUUUUUACUGUCAUUGGUAUAUUAUCUCUUACAGUGAAAACAUUCAUAGGCUGAUUGAAGAGAAGAUCUGAAAUUAUUAGGCAGCAAGCAUACAAAACCCUUGCUUUAUAAAGAUAAUAUCUUAAAGGCCUAAUGUCUAUGGUUCAAAGCAGCCUGGAGAUGUUGGCUAAAUCUUCCAUCAUAGAGUCCUCAUGGGAUCUGGAAGCUCUGAUUUAUCUUCCUUCAGGCCCUAUAAGUUAGCUUUCCACAUCUGUAGGUUCCACAAUCAACCUUGGAUCAAAAACAUUUGAAA